GGGGUCGAGGAAGGGGACGGAGCCAGGCGACCUCGUGGUCAUCCGCCCACCCCAACCCCCCAUCCCCCAAGGCGAUUCCGAGUGUCUCUGGGGGAGCAAAAGUCUGCGUUGGGAUGAAGUCCAGUUUAUCAGUUUCUUCUCCGAUGGCGUCUCUCCAAACUCCGAGCAAGCCCAUGUCGUGAAGAUCGCGUCCCGUGACCUCCUGCGUAAGUUGUUUCCAUUGCCCUUACAUAUGCAUUUUAGAAUUUGCCCAUCUCUGUCUACAAAAAAAAAUCUUGCUGGAAUUUCGCCUCGUGAUGUGUGAAGUCUAUAGAUCACUUUGAGGAGAAAUGACAUCUUUGCUAUGCUGAGCCUUCAGAUUCAUGAACAUGGUAAGCCUUCCUAUUUAUGUAGAUCGUAUCUGAUUUCUUUCAACAGCAUUUUGUCGCUUUCGGUACUCAGAACCUUUUCGUACUUUGCUAGAUUAGCACCUAGACGUUUUGGGAAGCUUCUGUAAAAACUGAUAGUCUUAAAAUUUUGGUCUCCAAUUAUUCAUUGCUUGUAUCUAUCUGGGCAUACAGUUGAUUUUGAUGUGUCAAUCUCGUAUCCUGCAACCUUGCUUAAACUCACUUACUGGUUCUAAGAGUUUGGUUCUGUUUAAAAAAUAGAUUCCCUGGGAUUUUCUACACAGAUCACUGCAUUGUCUGCAAAUAAGGACGGCUUUAUUCUUCCUUCCCAAUCAAUAUGCCUUUUAUUUCCUUUUCUUGCCCCAUUGCACUGGCUGGAGUUUCUAGCACUGUGUGAAAUAAGAGUGCUGAGGGAGGGCACCCUGGCCGUGAUCCUAAUCUCAGGUGGAAGCAUUCAGGCUUUCACAUGAAGUACGAUUUAGCUGUAGGACUUUUAUCAAUGACCUUUGUCAGGUUAAGGAAGUUUGCUGGAUAUAGAAAUCUGAACAAUGAUUCUUUUCUUUCAGCACCAAAAAGAUACUGUAUUAGCGAUAAGAAAGUCCGGCAUUCAAAUCAUCGUUCUUCUAUAGAAACUGUCCACUUCUGCAUUUGUGACGCAUUUGGGGCCAAGUGGCAGGACUUAGAGGAAAAACUUCUGCUAAUUAUCAGGUUCAGCACGGUUCCAGGAUCCAAGGUCAAUAUACAAAAACCAGCCACAUUUCUUUAUGUUAGCAAUGAGCAAUCCAGCGAUAAAAUUGAGAAAAAAUUCCAUUCACAACAGCAUUGAAAAGAAAGUAACUAGGAGUUUAACAAACAGAGUGUAAGACUUGAACACUAUGCAGCAUUUCUUUUUUUUUUUUUUGUAAUAAUGAUCUAUUUUUGAGAGAGACAGAGCGAGAGGAGAGGAGGGGCAGAGAGAGAGGGGGACACAGAAUCCGAUGCAGGCUCCAGGCUCCGAGCUGUCAGCACAGAGCCCGACGUGGGGCUCGAACCCACGAACCAGGAGAUCAUGACCUGAUUCAAAGUCGGAUGGUUGACUGAGCCACUCAAGUGUCUCUCUUUGUUUAUUUUCGAGAGAGAGAGAGAGAGAGAGAGAGCACAAUCGAGGGAGGGGCAAUAAGAGGGAGGGAGACCCAGAAUCCGCGGCAGCCUCCAGGCCCCGAGCUAUCAGCAUAGAGCCUGACGCAGGGCUCGAACCCACAGACCAUGAGAUCACCACCUGAGCCGAAGUCGGACGGUUAAAUGAGCCACCUAGGCGUCUCCACAGCAUUUCUAAGUGAUAUUAAAGAAGAUCUAGAUAAAUACAGAGACACCCACUGUUAAUGGGCUGGAGAACUCAAUAUUGUUCAAGUGGCAAUAUUCCCCAAAUUGAUUAAUAGAUUGAAUGCAAUCCUUCUCAAAAUGAGAGUAUUUUGGGGUUUGGGGAGCAAAAUUAGCAAUCUGAUCGUAAAACUUGCAUGGACAUGCAGAGGACACAGGACAGCCAAACAAUUCUGAAAGGGAACAAAGUUGGAGAAUUUACACAUUCCAAUUUGAAAACUUACUACACAGUAACAGCAAUAAACACAGCGUCUUCUGACAUAAGGGUUGACAUAUGGGUCAACGGAACCGCACUGAGAGUCCAGAAAUAGAUUCAUAGGUUUAUCGUCAAUUGAUUUUUGACAAAAGUGCCACGGCUUUCAAGGGGGGAAAUGCUCUUUUCAGCAAGUGGUGCUAUGACAAUUGGAAACCCAUGUAAAAACAGAAUUUGGACCCCUACCUUACGCCGCACAAAAAUUAACUCGAAAUCAACCAUAAACCCGGGUGUAAGAUCUAAAGCUAUAAGAUUUUUGAAAGGACACAUACGAGAAAAUCUUUGUGACCUUGAGACAGGCAGUGUUCUUAGGUGCAACGCCAAAAGCAGGAAUCCCCACGAAAGAUGAAUCCGAGUUGAUCAAUAGUGCAGAUUCUGUGCUUCGAGUGACGAUAAGAUAACGAAACUGGGAUAAAAUGUUUGCAGGUCAGAUGUAAUAAGGGGUUUGUCUUUAGGACACUUGCCGCUCAAAUACAAGACAAACGUACGCUUUAGAUUAUUAGGUGUAUCUUACAACAAUUAAAACCAGAUAUAAAAUUUAAAACAGUAAUCAUAAGACAUCCAAGCAAGUAAAAAAAAUUGGCAAAAAAAAGUUAGCCAUUUCAUCAAGGAAGGAGGAGGAACGCCGGGUAUCUUCUUUGGUGAAACGUCUAAUCCAAUUUGCAAAGAUGCUCGGCACCAGUAGUGACUAGGAAAAUCCAAACUGAAAGCGAACGCGUCACCACCUCGCACACACCGGGGUGGCUGUACCACGAGGAAGGCCCGACGCAAGUGUUGACAAAGGUACGGAACACCGGAACCCUCCUACGUCGCUGGCGGGAAGGUAAAACGUGCAGCCAAUUUCUUCCAAAGUUGACACAAACUUCCCACACGAGCCAGGAUUCCACUCCCAGGUGUUUACCCAAGAGGAACAACAACGUGUGCACCCAAGAGCUCGUACAUGAAGGUUCACAGCAGCUACGUUCGUAAUAGUCACACUGUGGAAACAACCCGAAUACCCAUCGACUGGUGAACAAACCACGUGUGGUGUAUCCACGCCAUGAAGCAUCAUGACGGGGACCAACAUGGGCGAACUUCGGGACGACUAUGCUCGGUGAGAGCAGCCGGACAGCAAACACCCCACGUGGCACAAUUCCGUGUGCGUGGAACGUGUGCAAGAGGCAAGUCUGUGAGGACAGAGAGGGGGUGGCUGUGGAUGGUCCAGGAGACCUUGGAGGUGAGGGCAGCGUUCUAAGUUGGACUGUGGUGGUGGUUGCACAACUGGGUAAAUUUACUAAAAUCAUUGGCUGGUGGGUGGAUCACUGAAACUGUUGAAAGUGGGUGGAUUUUAUGGUAUGUAAAUUACACCUCAAUAAAGCUGUUUUAAAAAUA